GACGAACGCUGGCGGCGUGCUUAACACAUGCAAGUCGUACGGUAAGGCCCUUUCGGGGGUACACGAGUGGCGAACGGGUGAGUAACACGUGAGUAACCUGCCCACAACUUUGGGAUAACGCUAGGAAACUGGUGCCAAUACUGGAUAUGUGCUCCUGCUGCAUGGUGGGGGUUGGAAAGCUCCGGCGGUUGUGGAUGGACUCGCGGCCUAUCAGCUUGUUGGUGGGGUAGUGGCCUACCAAGGCGGCGACGGGUAGCCGGCCUGAGAGGGUGACCGGCCACAUUGGGACUGAGAUACGGCCCAGACUCCUACGGGAGGCAGCAGUGGGGAAUAUUGCACAAUGGGCGCAAGCCUGAUGCAGCAACGCCGCGUGCGGGAUGACGGCCUUCGGGUUCUAAACCGCUUUCAGCAGGGACGAAGCUUUUUGUGACGGUACCUGCAGAAGAAGCACCGGCUAACUACGUG
rnacentral:rRNA from 1 species